GUGGCGAACGGGUGAGUAACACGUGGGUGAUCUGCCCUGCACUUCGGGAUAAGCCUGGGAAACUGGGUCUAAUACCGGAUAGGACCACGGGAUGCAUGUCUUGUGGUGGAAAGCGCUUUAGCGGUGUGGGAUGAGCCCGCGGCCUAUCAGCUUGUUGGUGGGGUGACGGCCUACCAAGGCGACGACGGGUAGCCGGCCUGAGAGGGUGUCCGGCCACACUGGGACUGAGAUACGGCCCAGACUCCUACGGGAGGCAGCAGUGGGGAAUAUUGCACAAUGGGCGCAAGCCUGAUGCAGCGACGCCGCGUGGGGGAUGACGGCCUUCGGGUUGUAAACCUCUUUCACCAUCGACGAAGGUCCGGGUUCUCUCGGAUUGACGGUAGGUGGAGAAGAAGCACCGGCCAACUACGUGCCAGCAGCUGCGGUAAUACGUAGGGUGCGAGCGUUGUCCGGAAUUACUGGGCGUAAAGAGCUCGUAGGUGGUUUGUCGCGUUGUUCGUGAAAUCUCACGGCUUAACUGUGAGCGUGCGGGCGAUACGGGCAGACUAGAGUACUGCAGGGGAGACUGGAAUUCCUGGUGUAGCGGUGGAAUGCGCAGAUAUCAGGAGGAACACCGGUGGCGAAGGCGGGUCUCUGGGCAGUAACUGACGCUGAGGAGCGAAAGCGUGGGGAGCGAACAGGAUUAGAUACCCUGGUAGUCCACGCCGUAAACGGUGGGUACUAGGUGUGGGUUUCCUUCCUUGGGAUCCGUGCCGUAGCUAACGCAUUAAGUACCCCGCCUGGGGAGUACGGCCGCAAGGCUAAAACUCAAAGGAAUUGACGGGGGCCCGCACAAGCGGCGGAGCAUGUGGAUUAA
rnacentral:rRNA from 1 species